rnacentral:rRNA from 1 species
UACGGGGGGGGCAAGCGUUGUUCGGAAUUACUGGGCGUAAAGGGCUCGUAGGCGGCCAACUAAGUCGGAUGUGAAAUCCCCAGGCUUAACCUGGGAACUGCAUCCGAUACUGGAUGGCUUGAAUUCGGGAGAGGGAUGCAGAAUUCCAGGUGUAGCGGUGAAAUGCGUAGAUAUCUGGAGGAAUACCGGUGGCGAAGGCGGCAGUCCUGGACCGACAUUGACGCUGAGUGAGCGAAAGCUAGGGGAGCAAACGGG